rnacentral:rRNA from 1 species
GAUGAACGCUGGCGGCGUGCCUAAUACAUGCAAGUCGGGCGAACGGACGAGAAGCUUGCUUCUCUGGUGUUAGCGGCGGACGGGUGAGUAACACGUGGAUAACCUACCUACAAGACUGGGAUAACUUCGGGAAACCGGAGCUAAUACCGGAUGAUAUUUUGAACCGCAUGGUUCAAAAGUGAAAGACGGUCUUGCUGUCACUUAUAGAUGGAUCCGCGCUGCAUUAGCUAGUUGGUAAGGUAACGGCUUACCAAGGCAACGAUGCAUAGCCGACCUGAGAGGGUGAUCGGCCACACUGGAACUGAGACACGGUCCAGACUCCUACGGGAGGCAGCAGUAGGGAAUCUUCCGCAAUGGGCGAAAGCCUGACGGAGCAACGCCGCGUGAGUGAUGAAGGUCUUCGGAUCGUAAAACUCUGUUAUUAGGGAAGAACAUAUGUGUAAGUAACUGUGCACAUCUUGACGGUACCUAAUCAGAAAGCCACGGCUAACUACGUG